rnacentral:misc_RNA from 1 species
AAGUCGUAACAAGGUUUCCGUAGGUGAACCUGCGGAAGGAUCAUUAACACAAAACCAAGAAGAGACCAUAGAAAUAUGUGUCUCAUCUUACUAUCCAUAUGGUCUUGUUUCGUACCUCUGAAAGGAGGAUUAUCCACUUUGCAGCAAGGAUCCUGGAACUCCGGAUGUAAAUAUCUUGAGGCAUUGUGGCGUCUAUUUUCGAAUGCUGAUUGUUAUACCUGCACUGAACCCAUAUGCACACGAAAGUGUGUGUAUGUUUAUUGACCUCGUGUCAAUAAAACCAAAUACAACUCGUAACAACGGAUCUCUCGGCUAAU